GGAAUUCUGGUGGAUGCUAUCAGGACCCUGGGCUUUUCCAAAUUUCAAUUGAGUGAUGACAGGAGAGAGUUCUGCAGAGGAAAAGGCUGCUGACAGAAGCCCAUCAGCGCCUGGAGCUUUCCAAAGAUUAGUGGUUUCCUGUUUGACAGAACGAGUAUGAUUCUUGUCCUCGUCUUUGAAGUGGCCGUUGGCCAGGAGCUGGUGGGCGAUGGAGUUGGCCAUUAGUGGGCAAUGCUUUGGGCGGGUACUUCGACCAGUGAGACGAUUGAAGGUCUUCCAAGCAACCCUACUGGAGUGUGUGAAGUCGAUUCCUUGGAC